rnacentral:lncRNA from 1 species
AAAGUUCGGCAUCCUUGACAGACCUAACUUGAGAGAAAUCCAGAGCCUCAGUCACACUGCUAAACAAUGACUGUUUGCUCUUCUUCUCUCCCUCUUCUUUCUCAUCAUUUGUCUCUUGUUGUUUAGCUGAAACUCUAAACAAUGUUGGGUAACUCUUACUUUUUAACCUUUGGGUGUACAAAUGUUGCUUAGGGAUACUGUAUUGCGAAGGUGACAAUGGAAGAGCCCUUAAUCCCAUGCUUGCUUUGUUUUUUGGCAGGUCUCCUCCUCCUCUAGGCUUUGCGAGCUAGCCUUUUUUAUAUUGUGACUUGGGUGAAUUUGGUGGCUUGAGCUUGAAUACGUGGCUAUUUACCAAACUAUUAAAAUUGUGAGAACUGAUAGGUUUUGCAUUUUAGGUCAAGCAUACAAGCAUAUUAUAACCAGAAAAUAUCUUCACAAAAAUUUCAUGGCAGGGAAUAAAGAUUAAUCAGACACCACAUGUGGUAAGGAAUAAUUGCAUCUUGUUAAAAGAGUCCGACGUGCAAUUUGAGAAUUUCGUGAUAAAACUAAUUUCAUUUCUCUAUUACAUCGGAUGUAGGAACUUUAGCCGUGUGCGGACCGUGACGAAAGCAGGUGAAUCUCUCUUGGACCAGUUAUAUAUAUUUCUUUACAGGUCGGCCAUAUGCAACACGCAAAACUACCAAAACUACUUACAUCAGAGGCUUACACCACAUAAACCAUGCCAACCUCUAGCAAAGAUACUGGUGGCACCUUAAGUGCCACAUCUGGUCCUCGGCAAUUCCUUCUCAAGAAAUUGUACCCAAAGUUAAUGGCCAAUCUCUUAAAAACAGAUGAUCCUUGCUUUGCUCGAACAUGUGAGUGCCCUAGUAUGAAUGCAGUCCCGGCUUCUUGGGCUGCUAACAGAUCUUGUAGCUCCUCUCGCAACUGCAACUCCAUGUUGGUCCUCACAUCAGAUUCGGAGUCAUCAUCGAUGGCAAAUCUAACUCUUCUUUCAACGGCAUGCACAGGCUCCAUUUCAAUGACAUCUGUGACACUCUCUACUGUCGAGAAUCCAAUAGAUACGCUUGCUGGUUGCACACUCUCCUCAAUCUCAUAAGCUGGUGUGCCAGAAAAUGCAACUGUCCCUAUCACGGCUAAUCUACAUUCACUUGUUGAUUCGUUAGAGUGGGAAACAUCCUCCUCAGAAUGGGAACUGUGCUGGCUUCGAUGCCAAUCAUAGUGAAUGAAAUCAGCCAGUUUGGAAACUAGCUCCGAUUCAAAAGAAUCAACAUCCUGAUGCACAUCUCGGUACCCAUAACGAACAAUGCACCUAUAAGACCGAUGAGCAGCCGGACCCACACGGCCCACAAGAUAGCGCUCAGCUGGGGGCACAAAAGGAACAGGUACUGAUUUUACACACACGAAGACAAGGACACGAUGGAAGGCAGGAAGGUUAGUGACAAAACGAGAGAAGUUGGCAGGGAUUCCAGAGGUGAGAUCGGUAAAAACUAAACCAAUACCCGGUACUCGAGCAAUUCCUAAGCUUGGACCCAAUGCUAAUAGCCAUUCUAGUGAUACCUUAUUGUGGAGAUCAAAUUCAUAUUUCUUGAUGGUUGCAUAAUGCCAAACAAACAUGAUUGUCAUAAGGAAAAGGGCCAAGAGAAUAGGGAGCCAAGCCCCUUCAGUGAACUUGGUGAGUGAAGCUGAGAAGUAAAGCAACUCAAUAGAACCAAAGAAAAGAAGAAAGAAAAGAGCCACAAUAGGGGGUUUGUGCCAACAGAGGAUAAUAACCAGGGAUGUGAGACAUGUCGUCACCAACAUCACAGUCAUCACUGCCAAUCCUGAAACAAAUAAGAACGCAUUUGUAAUGCAUCAAACUUCGCCGUUACCGCAAAGCAGAAAGGUCUUCCUUACAACCAUUUCCAAAGAAUAAGAACAAGGAAACUAUUUUAAUAAUAUGUUGGAAUGCUUUUAUAGGCUGCACAUGAAGUUUAACCUUACCUGAUGCAUUCCCCAUGUGUUUUGUGUCUCUAAAGCCAAUAGUCACAGCAAUGCAGAGGAUCAUGAGCACCCAAUUGAUUUCAGGGAUAUAAAUCUGGCCAUGUAUCUUGUCAGAGGUGUGAAUGACCUUCACUCUAGGGAAACAACUAAGUGACUGGCUCUGAUUGAUUAUUGAGAAUGUUCCACUAAUGAUUGCUUGGCUUCCCACGACAGAAGCAAGAAUUGCUAUUAUGAGCACAGGCCAUCUCACACUUUCUGUACAGUACAUAAAAACAAUUAAGCAAUCAAGUUUAUUAGUCUAUAACCAUGAACUUAGAUAUGUAAUGCAGCCUACAGUGUGAAAUUGCAUUCCGUCUUAGGUUGGAUAGAUACAUGACACAGUUUGUCAUUUGCACUUUUCUCUUCUACAGAUCUCUAUUUUCAUCAGUCAGCUUCCUACCAUUUUUUAUUGCAUUGAGAACAGAUGAGGUAUACCUGGAACUGAGACAUAGAAACUGAUUUGGUAACUCGUAUGAUGAUGUUGAGACAAGUAAGCAGCUUGGCCCAUGUAUGCCAAUAUAAGAGCCGGAUAAACCAGAAAGGUAAAAGCAGUCUGUAGCAAGACAAGGUUAAAUUUCACUUUAGCAGCUAGUUUUGAACUCACAUGAAUAGAAUAACACAUUAGUAUCAAAUCAAAACAUGGAAGAGGAUUUAUGUCAGUUACCUGAAUUGCAGAAUAAGAGAAGUGACCAAGAUCAGCAAACAUCGCCUCAGACCCUGCAUGGAUGGCAUUUAUUGGUUCGUCAGUUGUCACAAUGAGCCAAACUCAAGGUAUUGGUAUUAGUUAUCCAUAUACAGCUACUUUUUGGAAAGACUUUCAGAUGGUCUACUAAUGAUUUAGCUCGUAGAAGAAAGAAACGGAUAGAAUACAGAUUUAUU